CUUUUCCUCUUGAUGAUGCAUAUUCUCUUGCGCCUCCGCUCUCGAAAAGACCAACAUAAUAAAAAUUUAUGAAUUGCAUUUCCAACUCCACUACCACUCACCAUGCCGUUGUUCUACCCACUAUAUCCAAACGUUAACAAAUGAUCACCACAUGCCAUACGCACAUACCAUCUCAACUUAACCGCUACGACUCCUCAUCAUGAUUAGUAUUCCGAUAUCUAGUACAUCCCCUUUUAUCUCGUUUAAAUGAUUAUUUAUGUACACUUAUGAUCACUACGACAGAUUAGCAGCCCCAAGUCAACAAAACGUAAAAGUGCUUGAAUCACGAAAUCAUACAAAAUUCAUCGGCUUGCUAAACCACUUUCACUUAAUAUCACAUUUACGCCCUCUGCCAGGCAGAAUAUGUGAGGAUAUAUUUGGGGACUGGCCCAUACGUUGCUAAAUUAGUAACAUAGAGGAUUGUAUUUUGGUUUUGUACCAAGAGUAAUGCAAACCUCACAGGCAUCUGUACAACUAUUUUCUAAGCUAUAUAUCAUUAAGACACGUGGCUUUUAAUGCGUUUUCAUGCGCUAGUGAAAAUGAAAUUUACUGCUCUUUUUGCGUAGUCAGUUACUGAUGUACUACCUGAACUAUAUGCUUAUUGUUAUUAUUUUUUACCCUUCUGUAUUCUAGUUACACCAGCAUCGGAGCCUGUUUAAAGGAUGAGAACAUCGCAUUUUCCACUUCAAAUAAACUUUUCCCUUCUCCAAAAAGUAUUAAAAGAAAAAAAAGUGCUGGUAUGUGUUCGUUAUGGUUUCAAGGACUGACACUCGGUAAUUGUGGUAAAAAUGUUUCCAAAAAAGGAUCCAACAAUAAAUACAAUGGCAGCUAAAAGCAUAGGCACAGCGUCAAAGACGUAGAUGAAAUAUUCGUGCGAUAUUAUGAAUCCAUCAUACCCUUCUACAAACUCGACUAGUCUCACAAUCGAACGUACCAUGAUCAAUAUACUCGAAAGCAUUAGUGUAAGAUUCAAAAACCACCAUUUUUUCGAUAUAUGACGGUAGAAGGGGCAAACCCUCGCAACACUGUAUGAGAAUCUGAACUCAUUGAUGAUGAAAACCCCGAAAAAGACAAUUUGAAUAACCAGGCCCGCAGUAAUAAGAUUCGAACCGGUCGUUCUACCGUUGACUGUUGCCAUUAAGCCCCCACCAGCAGCCUGAAGACAAAAACUAACCACAUCUCCAAACACAAAAAAACUAGUCCCAAAACGAGAGGAAACGAUCAUAAGGGAUUCACACCUCAUAACAUGCAGUAGCCUACCAAACAGCAUAUAAAUAGUCGCUGCAUACAAGGCAGGCGCAAUUAACAGCAGCACUGCUUGUAUGACGUACGGCGCUAUCUCCUUUGUGUUAGACGAUGAUACUGCUCUUGCAAUGUAGCCCACAAUUUCCAUUAUGCAACCAAAGAAUAAUGGGAUGAAGGCAGAAAAUGUCGACCUUACUGUCAGUUUCUUAUAAUUCUCCCCCAAACUAAUGGCUGUGAUAGAUUCGCACUUAUCAACAGGAGUAUCAAAGGGAUUGUCGACUUCUGGCUUAGAAGCCUUUCUUGCAUCCCAUACUACCUGGAAAGAGUAUAUUAGUGUUGUAACUAUGAAAAGAACAGUAAGUGCUAUUGCAGCUCCGUUACUAGGUGUGUAUCGAUAAAGCUCCCAUUCAGAGCCACUAGAGUCAUUUGACAUUGUCGAAAAUAUACUCGAUUUCCAAUUGCUUACUUGAGAUAUCAGGUGUUACAUCAUCCGCCAAUUAAUGAAGCACACAUUUAUUUCAUCCUUUUAUAAAAUUUUAAAG
rnacentral:lncRNA from 1 species